GGGCCCUUAGCUCAGCUGGUUAGAGCGCCUGCAUGGCAUGCAGGAGGUCAUGAGUUCGAAUCUCAUAGGGUCCA
rnacentral:tRNA from 1 species